ACUGUAGAUCGGGUAGUUCCUCUCUGACUACGACACCAAGAGGGAACAUUUUCGUUCUGCUGUCGCUGUUGGCUUCCAAGAUAUUCUGCUUACACCUGCUCAGCUGCGUUUCAGUAUUAUAUCGAUUAUUUUAAUUAGAAAACAAAUGAAACGUUUUGCUAUGAAAUCUGAGUGUACUGGAAUAAGUGCUGAUUGUUUUGAUCGUCAUUAGCCAUGCUUAAAGUCAAAGACAACAGGCAAUAGUGUAACAGUUACCUGUUCAUUUGUUUUCUGGUAGAUCUGCCAAGUGUUUUGGAAGUGUCGUGUUGUCGAUGACGUCAGUGACGUGAAGUAUGUGAAGUGAAGUGAGCUGCUGUCACCGUCACCGUCACCGUCACCGAACAGCUGUAGUUUGUGGACAAGGAGGGAGAAGAGACGAGCUGGAGCACGGACUGGGCGUUCAGGGAAGGAUGCAGAUCAGUGCUGGAGUGUUACAAAUACAAUGGCCGGCGACUGUCUACCAGCUGAGGCCGUACUGAAGAAGUUGCGAGAUACUGGACACGCAAGUACGGAGCGAAAUGCUCAGAAGCGGCUUCUUGCUGAGCCCUCUCAGACAUACUGAGGUGGGCGAACAGGUGAAUUUCUGAAUCUAAUGGAAGAUAUUGCCAUGAUCCAAGAAAUAUCAUAUAUCCAGGGUGCCACCGCUAAUCAGAGUAUCUGCAGGAUGGAGACAAUUUACGAGUACCUAAACAUAGACGGGAGGGUUGUACUUAAAUAGACAACGUCAAGUGAAGAUCUCUGCUGUGAGUUGGACAACAGGACCUCCGCAUGCUGUUCUUCAGUUCCAGCAACUCCUCAAGAAGAAGGAGAGACCACCAGUCUGCAGCCUCCACUUCUGUGGCGUUCCUGACCUUCGAGGGCACGAGGGCGCUGUCCAACUCUGGUUCAGCUCAGCGGCGCCUGGGCUUAACACGCAGUGAUACGCGAUGGUUCAACAUCUCUGAGUGCUGUUCAGGAAGGACAAAUGUCACCGGAUUAUCCGCUCCUCGACCUUUCCAGAGUCUUCCCAGGAUCGUACCCAACUUAUCUGUCCGAAUAACACGUUCUGAUCCUGGUUUAUCUCAAGGACACUUGUCACUUCCCUGGUCUCUGAGGUUUUCUACAAGUUCUGUAUCAUCGUUGUUGUUUUUCAACUGAAGGUCUGUCCCAAGGUCCCUUCAUCAAGUCUUCGUUAAUGCCCAUCAGCACUUCAGCGACGUCCAUAAGAUCUGAUUCUCCCGGGUACUUACGGGAUGGGGUACAAGAUUGAAGAUACUUCCUAGUGGAGAAAAAGGAGACUUAUUUUUUCAUUACAUGACUGCAACUUUUCUGCUCCUGCGAGAAUUACCCAAUUGUUUUAUCAGUUCCACGUCACCACGAUUGUUUCUUUUAUUUCUAGAGGUGGUACCACGUCCUGCCUUGUAUUUUGGAUUAACACAGUAAUAAGAGAUUGAUUUCUUCAGCCAUGUUUACAAUUUCCUUUCAUCUCUCAGCAUUUUUAACGUUUUCUGAGUGCUGAGAAGACUUUACGUUUCAUCUACACGUCACGUGUUAAUUCGAAGAAUUCAUUUUCAUAUUAUAACUUCAUAGAUUUCUUUCCCUGACCUCCAGAAUUCAGCACACAAUAUAUCCUGUCUUUGAUAUCAAUGUGGUUGUGAAACGGUUCUUUAUUUUUUCAGUAUUUUAGGCACAAUACGUAAGCUUUGAAUGAAAUCAUUUCUCAGUGUAAAAUGUCUUCAAUUCAAAUAUAUUUCACAUACUUAAAAUAUGAAUCUACCAUUAUAGGAAAGUGGCUUUAAGAAUUCUUCUAGCAGUUACACUAAACCGAUAUACCAAAAUUAUAUUUCAAAUUAUUUGUAAUUUCAUCGACCCUAAAGAUAGAGGCAACAUGUUCCUUCAAAAAUCCUUAAAUUUUGCCAGACUUCACGAUGUCACAUCACAGAAGAUAGUACUUUUUAAUACAUUCAAAUUCCUUAGUCAGUAGUGACAAUGGUUUUACCCGUGGUUCAAUACAAGGAUGAAAUUCUUAGCAUUAUAACGAAAUAUGUUUACAAGAUGUGGUGAAAUCAGUUUUUUCAGAAUAGUUAAAAUCUCAUAAAACUUCAUAGUCCUACUAUGACGCAUUCCUUCAGUCUCCAAAAUUGGAUUGCCAUUGCAGAAUGUCCAUCUACAUGGGAUGUUCCCAAGACGUCAUGAAAAUAUUGUCAAAGUCAGUGUAAACAAGCGUGGAACAAGUUUUAAACUUCUACAAUGAACGUACCAUCGAUUACAAUAGUCCACAGACCAUGAAGUCCAAGAAGGUCAUGGCUAUAGAAACUAGUUUGUUCCAAGCUAUUUUCUAGCUGCUUGUACGUCGAUCAUAACUUUAGACAUAAAACAUUCUUUUACGCUAGUUCUGUUCGUUAGAGGUCGGAAUGGCAUUCUUUACGACCAUCGUUAUGAUAGAGAUCAGGGAAAACUCUUCUCUUCUUGCCACAAAAUAUUAGUCACACAUAUUAACCUUAAUGUAAAAUUCAUUUCAAGUGUUCAGAUGUUCUUGUAAUUGCAGUUCAGAGCUUGGCAUCACUGAACAGCUGCUUUCUUUCACGAAUAAUAUUUCCAGAAUUUCUUUAGCUGCCACUCUUUUUCUCCUCUGUUGUUUACACCUUCUGUUGACGAACGUCUUAUAUUUCACACCUGAAAGGAGAAAAGUAAUUCAUUUUAUGCCAUUCCAUUCAAAUUUGCUUCCUCAUAUUCCCAAACAUACUUAAAUUCGCUGUAGCUAAAGGUUCCUUCUCCCAAGAAUACCAACCUACAUUGGCAAAAGUAAUGCCAACCUUCUUACUGAAUCAUGAUCUCCCAUUGCACCUGUGACGUCAACAAUGUAACAGAAGUCAUCAUAACCAACAAAGAGAUUGGAACUGCAAGGACGUGAAAUCCUGUAGAGUCUGAAGACAAACUAUGUUGGCAAUAUGGCGUCUUAUCCUCCGGAAGAUAGUUAUGUCAAAUCGACUUUUAUUUCUUCAAAAGUGAUAUAAGUCCACCACGAAAUUUCGAGCCGAGGCUGGUCUUCAGAAUGGAGAGUGUCGUGAAUUAUAUGCCUUUUAUAUUUAUUCUGGUUGUGAAGAACGAGUGAGAUUUAACAAAGUGUCCACCAGAGUGCAGUUAUGAUGUGAAAGAAGACUGUGAAACCCUCGCUCUUAUUACGUCACAUCCGUUUGUGUUUGUUUUAGUCAAAGUUCCUGAAGAAGUGAUUUCCACGGAAAUUACGCAAAACUUAAUCGGCAGAAAUAUAUUAUGCAAGUAAAAUUCGUCAAUUCAGUUUGGACUCAUAUAUCAACCUCUUUCAAAUGGUUUCUGAAGAAGAAGUAUUCAAUGGCGUGUGGUGUACCAAAGGCUGGAGCGCACCUGAGAACCGGGCGGACCGCAGAGCUGCAGAGGGAAUUCCGGCCAGCUCCUGCGGUCACCUGUCGGCGGCCCUCACAUCUGCACUGCUGGACAGAUACUUUGCCUACGCUGGAGCAAGUGGCAGGACUUGGUAGAAAGCCCAUUCAGGAGGAGGGAACAUAAGGCUGCCAGGGUAUCCAUUAAGAAGCUGCUACUAAUUAGACAUACUUAAAAUGCAAUGACAUUAUACAGGGGCUUAACGAUGUUCUAUAUCAAUAUCAAAAAAAAAAAAGAACUUUAAUUUCCAUAAGAUGAAGUUACUUCAGUUUCUAUGAGGAAAAGUCGAAAUGUAGUAGAAAUGAUGUGAUUAUAAGAUUUUU